rnacentral:rRNA from 1 species
AUGAACGCUGGCGGCGUGCUUAACACAUGCAAGUCGAACGAAGCACCUUGAUUCGAUUCUUCGGAUGAAGAUCUUGGUGACUGAGUGGCGGACGGGUGAGUAACGCGUGGGUAACCUGCCUCAUACAGGGGGAUAACAGUUAGAAAUGACUGCUAAUACCGCAUAAGACCACAGCACCGCAUGGUGCAGGGGUAAAAACUCCGGUGGUAUGAGAUGGACCCGCGUCUGAUUAGGUAGUUGGUGGGGUAACGGCCUACCAAGCCGACGAUCAGUAGCCGACCUGAGAGGGUGACCGGCCACAUUGGGACUGAGACACGGCCCAAACUCCUACGGGAGGCAGCAGUGGGGAAUAUUGCACAAUGGGGGAAACCCUGAUGCAGCGACGCCGCGUGAGCGAUGAAGUAUUUCGGUAUGUAAAGCUCUAUCAGCAGGGAAGAAAAUGACGGUACCUGACUAAGAAGCACCGGCUAAAUACGUGCCAGCAGCCGCGGUAAUACGUAUGGUGCAAGCGUUAUCCGGAUUUACUGGGUGUAAAGGGAGCGUAGACGGAGUGGCAAGUCUGAUGUGAAAACCCGGGGCUCAACCCCGGGACUGCAUUGGAAACUGUCAAUCUGGAGUACCGGAGAGGUAAGCGGAAUUCCUAGUGUAGCGGUGAAAUGCGUAGAUAUUAGGAGGAACACCAGUGGCGAAGGCGGCCUACUGGGCACCAACUGACGCUGAGGCUCGAAAGUGUGGGUAGCAAACAGGAUUAGAUACCCUGGUAGUCCACACCAUAAACGAUGAUUACUAGGUGUUGGAGGAUUGACCCCUUCAGUGCCGCAGUUAACACAAUAAGUAUCCCACCUGGGGAGUACGGCCGCAAGGUUGAAACUCAAAGGAAUUGACGGGGGCCCGCACAAGCAGUGGAGUAUGUGGUUUAAUUCGAAGCAACGCGAAGAACCUUACCAAGGCUUGACAUAUACAGGAAUAUUUAAGAGAUUAAAUAGCUCUUCGGAGUCUGUAUACAGGUGGUGCAUGGUUGUCGUCAGCUCGUGUCGUGAGAUGUUGGGUUAAGUCCCGCAACGAGCGCAACCCCUAUCUUUAGUAGCCAGCGGUCCGGCCGGGCACUCUAGAGAGACUGCCAGGGAUAACCUGGAGGAAGGUGGGGAUGACGUCAAAUCAUCAUGCCCCUUAUGAGCAGGGCUACACACGUGCUACAAUGGCGUAAACAAAGGGAGGCAGAACCGCGAGGUCGAGCAAAUCCCAAAAAUAACGUCUCAGUUCGGAUUGUAGUCUGCAACUCGACUACAUGAAGCUGGAAUCGCUAGUAAUCGCGAAUCAGAAUGUCGCGGUGAAUACGUUCCCGGGUCUUGUACACACCGCCCGUCACACCAUGGGAGUCAGUAACGCCCGAAGUCAGUGACCCAACCGUAAGGAGGGAGCUGCCGAAGGUGGGACCGAUAACUGGGGUG